rnacentral:rRNA from 1 species
GCCUACAUGAAGUCGGAAUCGCUAGUAAUCGCGGAUCAGCAUGCCGCGGUGAAUACGUUCCCGGGCCUUGUACACACCGCCCGUCACACCAUGAGAGUUUGUAACACCAAGCCGGUGGGUAACCUUUGGAGCCAGCCGUCUAAGGUGGGACAGAUGAUUGGGGUGAAGUCGUAACAAGGUAGC